rnacentral:rRNA from 1 species
CACGGCGAAUGGUUCAUCAAGUCUUCAAAAAAGAAUAUAUCAGAUUCGAUUCGAUAUACUAACGGAUGCGAUCAUGCCAGCACUAAUGCACCGGAUCCCAUCAGAACUCCGCAGUCAAGCGUGCUUGGGCGAGAGUAGUACUAGGAUGGGUGACUCCCGGGAAGUCCUCGUGUUGCAUCCCUCUUUUAUGUUUAACCUUUUUUUUUUG